CCAGCAAUGAUUAGAAAUAUCAGUACCAUAUCGGCGCGAAACUGACCUCUACGAAAGAAGCUCGUUAAGGCACAUGUUCUCUGUCUCACCUGUUAUCUGUAUACCUCAAAAUUCCCAAUAACAAUAACCAGUAUCGUAUGAGAAUUUGAAUAGUGCGGUAGUGUAGUGUAGUGUAAGUACGUAUCUUCUUCCAAUGGUAGAGUUUUUCUCGUGGAUAAUCUGAACCAAGGAGGCUAAGGGAUAAUUGUAAAUGGUCGCCGGAAUCGUAACGCGAGAAACUGGCAAAUUCCAAGAAACAACUGUAAAUUCCCAGAUAGAUUUAGAAAUUCUUGGAAAGAUCUGGUAGCUGUUAUGCAUUCCCAACUAAAGGUCUACAGCUUGAAUUCAUAGAACACGGAACUACGAAAACCACCAUUUUUGGAGAGUAUUCUCUAGAGCUGUCUCACCAAAUUUAUGCGCCACGAUCUGCCACUGCAGUGCCUAACGGCAGAAAAAGGUUGGGAAUUGACGUCUCAAUCAACUUCUCCAGUAGAAAAUCGCGGUA